rnacentral:lncRNA from 1 species
CCUAUGACGACAUCAGAUAAAGGUAUUUCUGAAACCUCUAUUAUAUUUAAUUUAUUGAGAUUGAUUUAUUCUUAAUUAAUCAAUCUAAUCUUUAAAGCCAUAUUAUUCUUAAUAUCUUGAAGUUUACUUAUUAUAUUAAGCUAUAUAUGCUUCAUGAUUGACCUAAUUGAGGUCAGAUAAUAUUCAUGUUGUAAGGAGAUAGUA